AACCGAAUAGAAAAAACCCAUAUACGUCACAGAAUAUCUAUAUUACCCAGAAACCAUACUAACCAACCCAUUCAAAAUUAUUAAAUCAAUAAUUAUUUAUUUAAACAUAAAUUGAACCACAAUAUAUAUAGAUGUUUCCACGAUUGACAGGGACUUUUUUUUAGGGUGAGUUCACUUUUCAAUUUGAUCAACUAAACCAGAUCUGGAAAAAUAAAAUUCAUCUUCCGAGUCCAAAUAAAUCCAUCUCAGUAACAAACAAACACAAGAAAAACACACAAAUUGGUAUCCCGGCUGAAGAAUAAAAUUGAAGAACUGAGUCGGAAUCGAAGACGGAAAC
rnacentral:lncRNA from 1 species